rnacentral:rRNA from 1 species
UACAGAGGUCCCGAGCGUUGUUCGGAUUCACUGGGCGUAAAGGGUGCGUAGGUGGCCCUAUAAGUCAGUGGUGAAAGUCUGCAGCUUAACUGUAGAACUGCCAUUGAUACUGUAGGGCUUGAGUACUGAUGAGGUAGGCGGAAUUGAUAGUGUAGCGGUGAAAUGCAUAGAUAUUAUCAAGAACACCGAUUGCGAAGGCAGCUUACUAAGGAGUUACUGACACUGAGGCACGAAAGCGUGGGGAUCAAACAGG